CCUUCGGGUUGUAAAGCACUUUUGUCCGGGAAGAAAUCCCCUGCCCUAAUACGGCGGGGGGAUGACGGUACCGGAAGAAUAAGCACCGGCUAACUACGUGCCAGCAGCCGCGGUAAAUACGUAGGGUGCGAGCGUUAAUCGGAAUUACUGGGCGUAAAGCGUGCGCAGGCGGUGAUGUAAGACCGAUGUGAAAUCCCCGGGCUCAACCUGGGAACUGCAUUGGUGACUGCAUUGCUCGAGUAUGGCAGAGGGGGGUGGAAUUCCACGUGUAGCAGUGAAAUGCGUAGAGAUGUGGAGGAACACCGAUGGCGAAGGCAGCCCCCUGGGCCAAUACUGACGCUCAUGCACGAAAGCGGGGGAGCAAACAGGAUUAGAUACCCUGGUAGUCCACGCCCUAAACGAUGUCAACUGGUUGUCGGGCCUUCAUUGGCUUGGUAACGUAGCUAACGCGUGAAGUUGACCGCCUGGGGAGUACGGUCGCAAGAUUAAAACUC
rnacentral:rRNA from 1 species